UUACGGCCAUAUUGCGUUGAAACACCGGUUUCCGUACGAUCACUAAAGUUAAACAACGUCAAGCCUGGUCAGUACAUAGAUGGGUUACUACUUGGGAA